GACGAACGCUGGCGGCGUGCUUAACACAUGCGAGUCGAACGGAAAGGCCCCUUUGGGGGUACUCGAGUGGCGAACGGGUGAGUAACACGUGAGUAACCUGCCCUUGACUUCGGGAUAACUUCAGGAAACUGGGGCUAAUACCGGAUAGGAAUCCUUGCUGCAUGGUGGGGGUUGGAAAGCUUCGGCGGUUUUGGAUGGACUCGCGGCUUAUCAGCUUGUUGGCGGGGUAGUGGCUUACCAAGGCUUUGACGGGUAGCCGGCCUGAGAGGGCGACCGGCCACAUUGGGACUGAGAUACGGCCCAGACUCCUACGGGAGGCAGCAGUGGGGAAUAUUGCACAAUGGGCGGAAGCCUGAUGCAGCAACGCCGCGUGCGGGAUGACGGCCUUCGGGUUGUAAACCGCUUUCAGCAGGGGCGAAGCUUGUGGUGACGGUACCUGCAGAAGAAGCACCGGCUAACUACGUG
rnacentral:rRNA from 1 species